rnacentral:lncRNA from 1 species
AAUAUAUAUAAGUAAAUCCAAAUAAAUAAAUAAAAGUCUACAUAUGAAGAAUAAAGAAUAACAGCAAUGAUAGAAAUUAUAAGAUGUAUAUUUUUAAUAGUUAUAAUAUUACAUUUUAAGUAAUCAUAAUCAUAAUAAUAAUAAUUAUUGUUUAAACAGUUGAAUGUCAUCAGCCAGGGUUAAGGCUAACGUUAGUCUGUAAUUUGACUAGGAUAAAUUUGUCCAAUAAUCGAUCAUAUCAGUUGUGUUCCCGUGUCUUUACUGCUCUGAAAUCAACUAAAUGUUUUUAACCAUCAGUAUUUGAUUUUAAAGUUUAAACUUUUAAACAAAAGAGAAAAAUAAUGAUAUUUUUAACCAUUCUUCUUUGGAUUUUAUUAAAUUUGAGUUUUAUUUAUAACUGUUAUCGAGUGUCUUUUCUCAGAAAUAUCAUUAAAAUCAUCGGAGCUGGUACUUUUUAAAACUUAAAUGUGCAGUAGUUAAUCACAAGUUUCUCAGGCAGAAAACAAGUUAAAUCAAAACUGACCACCAGGGGGCGCCUUUUCUGUAUUAUGCCUGUUUGGCCCUGAACUCCAGAUCCUGAAGUCUUCUACUCCUCAUGUUUGAUCCUCAGGUGUCUGCAGGAGGACUGGAGAAUUAUGGGACCGACAGAGGACGCCGUGGGUGAGUUGUAUUGUUGGCUCAGGGUCCCCAGGGUCUUCAGGUCCUGAUAGCGUUUGUUGAUGUUUUUUCAGCAGCUGUAGUGUUUGUUUUUUGUGUUUUUAUACUGCAGAUGUAUCAGGACAGAGUUUGUAGUUCCAGCUCAGAUUGUAACUUCUGUUUUUGACCUCGUGGACUUUUUUAAAUCCGGCUCAGGUGUGUAAAGAUCGAUCAGCUCUCAGUGCUGAGGGUGUGAUUCAGUGUUCAGCAGGUUAGUUUGAAGCUUUAAUAUAAAGUUUAAAAGUUUUUACUGGGAAGUUAAAGUCUGUCAGCGCUGAGUGUUUCCUGAGAUAUCAGAGGAGCUUUAAGGUCCAUAAUCUCAGCGUUUAUGUCAUGUUUAAUGAUGGACGAUAUGAGCUAAAAAAAUUAUUAUCAUGAUGAGAUUUUCUAUUCUGGUGAUAACGAUAGAAAUCCUGAUAAAAAAUAUCAUAAUUCUUGUCUGUAUUUUUGACUCAUUUGUCUUGAGAACAUCAGUUGGAGUUUUUAAAUCAGACACUGAACCACAAGUUUGAGUUUUAGGUUACGGAGGAAACUAAAGACUAAAGUCUGAAGACCCUGAAGAGCCGAGCCGACAACACAACCACCAGAGGAGGGGGGUCCUAUGAGUUUAUUCAUAAAAAACACACAAACACACUGUCACUCUGUGGCUCUUUAUUUUAAUCAGGACUCCUCCCCCUGACCCCUGAACCCCCACCCUCCUGUGUCUCCCUCAGGUCAAAGUUCAUCUGCUUUAUGUUGUUUAGUUUUGUUCCUGGUUAAAAUGACAGUUAAGUUUAGAGUCUGAAUUUAUUAUUUAACUUUUUCCCACUGAGUGUUUAAAGACUUAAGUCACGAUUAAAAGUUCAGAUUAGAGACACUUUAAAUAUUUACUUAAAGGCCUUUAGGAAUCAUUAGUCAGCAGUUAAUUUAGAUUAGUUCAGAUCGAACCAUUUUCUUUUUGAAAUUAUCUUUAAUCUUUCUCUAAAUCUUUACUUUGAAUGGAGAUGUUAAUGCACUGUAGUGUUGUGUAGCAUUUCCAUUCAAGGCAAAGAUUUAAAGUCUAAAUAUAAUUUCAAUUAGAAAAUGAUUUAAUCUGAACUUUGAGUCCUGAAAGAAAAGAAGAGAGACACUUAGUUCAUCAUAUUUAACCGACAAAAGACAAAAAUCUGUGCUGAGGACAUCAAACCGGACCGUGGUGAGAGAUCAGAGAAGCUGCUUUACUGAUCAGAGAAAUUUACUGUGACGUCUUUUAAAACGGUAAAAACAAAAACAAGUGAAAAGUUUUCUGUUUGCAUUUAUUUUUGCAUGACUGUCAGAGAAGCUGAUUUAAGUUUCAAGUAUCUUUAAAUUAAUUAAUAAUUGAACCUUCAGCUGUUUUGUGUUAUUAUUCUCGUGUUUAUUACAUCAAAAAAAACGUGGGACUGUUUACUCCAGAGUUUACUCCUUUAUCUAUAGCAGGGAAGUUUUGUGUAGAAACGGCGCCCUCUGGUGGACAGUUAUAUUUGAGGUUUUUUUAGAAAACACCAAAGUUCACGUGAGAAUCAAAGAUUUAAAGAUGAACAAUUCUUGAUAUUCUCUGUGUAAUGUUAUUGAUUUUUUUCCUUUAAAACUUGUUUCAUUUUGUUCAAAUUUAUCUGGUUUCAAAACGACAUUAUAUGAAAAUCCAUUUGUUUUAGCGACACUGUAACUUUAAAUUCAUGACAAAAAAUUAUAUUCCAGGCCGGAAAAAAAACGUCAUAGUAUACUAUGACCAAAAUUUCAGAUUUUAGGGUGAGAAGAAAAUUUCAGAUUUCAGGAUGAAAAAACAUGCUAUUGUGUAGUCUGAUCAAAAUGCCAUUGUAUAUGAUGUUAAAAAUGUCAUAUUUUAGCCCAAAAAAAACCCCAUCAUAUUUGGGUCUGAAAAAAAAAUGUCAUAGUAUACUAUGACCAAAAUUUCAGAUUUUACGGUAAAAAAAAAAAAUCUGAUUUUUGGAUGAAAAAACAUGCAAUGGUGGUGUCUGAACAAAAUGCCAUUGUAUAGGAUGUUAAAAAUGUCAUAUUUUAGUAGGAAUAAAAAAAAUCUUAUUUGAGUCCGAAAAAAAAAAACAUCAUAGUAUACUAUGACCAAAAUUUUAUAUCUUAAUGUGAAAAUUUUUAUUCAGAUUUUUGGAUAAAAAAACAUGCGAUAGUAUUGUCUGAACAAAAUGCCACUGUAUAGGAUGUUUAAAAUGUCAUAUUUUAGUUCCAAAAAAAAAAAAUUAUAUUUGGGUCAGAAAAAAAAACGUCAUAGUAUACUAUGACCAAAAUUUCAGAUUUUAGGGUGAAAUUUUAUUUUCAGAUUUUAGGGUGUAAAAGCCUGCCAUGAUAUUGUCCAAACAAAAUGCCAUAGUAUAGGAUGUUAAAAAUGUCAUAUUUUAGCAGGAAGAAAAAAAAUCUUAUUUGAGUCCGUAAAAAAAAUCAUCAUAGUAUACUGUGACCAAAAUUUCAGAUUUUAGGGUGAAUUUUUUUUUUUCAGAUGCUAAUGAAAAAACAUGUCAAAGUAGUGUCUGAACAAAAUGCCAUUGUAAAGAAUGUUAAAAAUGUCAUAUUUUAGUAGAAAUUAAAAAAAAUUAUAUUUCAGUCGGAAAAAAAAACGUCAUAGUAUACUAUGACCAAAAUUUCAGAUUUUAGG